GGGAGCUGAACAUCAGCUCCAUCACUAAAAAGGCAUGGCAGGGGACGUUCUUCCUGACGUAGCUGAAUUCAACCUGCCAAAGACCAUGAUGGUGCACUUCCAUCCUCUGCUCCUCCAUCACCGUCUGGUACGCUGCAGCCACUGCUAAGGACAGAGCCAGACUGCAGCGGAUCAUCUAUAUUUUAUUUUAUUUGUCAUUAGUAUUGUGUAUUGUGUAUGCAUAUAUGUUAUAUAUAUACAUAUAUAUUUUAUUUUAUAUUUUACUUUGUAUACUCCUAUAUCUUUCAUCCCUGUUUUUUAUAUUUUAUUUUUUAUUCUUGUGUGUUUAGUUUAUUGGUGCUGCUACUGUGACGACAAAUUUCCCCUUGGGGAUUAAUAAAGUAUAUAUCUAUCGAUCUAUCAUCUAUCUAUCUAUCUGCUCCGCUGAGAGAGUGAUUGGCUGCAAUCUGCCAUCCCUCCAGGACUUGUCUGCUUCCAGGACCCUGAAGCGAGCAAGGAAGAUUGUAGCUGACUCCUCUCACCCGGGUCCCCCACUGACUUACGUCCCCAGGACAAUUUCCUUCCGCGCACCUAAUUAUUCACUUAAAUACACUGCAUACACUUAGGAAAAAGUGGCCUUCAUACUUCAAGGACAAAGUCAUCGCAGAAUGCCAGAGUCUUCCCCAAAGUCUCCAUGUCAAGGAGUUGCUGGCUUUUGACACUGAGGCUGAGAAUGACUUUGAUGUCUUCAAGGCUGGGAUAGUGAUAUGUCAGCUCUUCUGUUGCUGUUGCAUCUCCUGCCUCCUACAUCAAGAGGCCACAAAAAACAGCCAAAGGAAGCUCAGCCCAGGCAGCCAACCAUCUUGUAAGGUUUAUUAAGGAAGGAGCCAGCAUGACUACAUUCCUGGAGAAAGAUGAUGCUAGACAGCCCUUCCUCCUCUGCAUCUGUGAGCAAAGGAAGAACAUCGAAAGAUUCUUCAUCAUUGUGGACCAAAAAGCUGUCCCCUUAACGCUCGGACAUCGGUGGCUGCUGAUGGUGUGUUAUUCAAAGCUCACUAUGUCUUCAGCAUCUCCUACGACGAAGCUCUUUUCAGUUUCUACACCCUCAUUCAAACCACGGUGUACAACGUCGAUGUACUUUGAUGACCAUUUCCAUGCAUAUUGUAUAGAGGAGCAAAGCAGUGAACGUGUUCUGAUUGGUCUUGACAAACUGCCAUAUGUUAGACCUUUUGAUAAACUACUCUAAUGAGAGUGACAGAGCAUACAUUGUUCCAUAUUAUUGUAUGUUUUGAAAAGCAUUGUAAAAUGUGUAUGUGAUGCACUGGUUUUAAAAUAAAUAUGUUUUAAAACUA